rnacentral:rRNA from 1 species
UUAGUUUACUAUUGGAGCGGUUAGUGGCGGACUGGUGAGUAACACGUAAGCAACCUGCCUAUCAGAGGGGAACAACAGUUAGAAAUGACUGCUAAUACCGCAUAUACCCAAGUGUCACAUGGCACAAUGGGGAAAGGAGCAAUCCGCUGAUAGAUGGGCUUGCGUCUGAUUAGCUAGUUGGUGGGGUAACGGCCUACCAAGGCGACGAUCAGUAGCCGGACUGAGAGGUUGAACGGCCACAUUGGGACUGAGAUACGGCCCAGACUCC